rnacentral:rRNA from 1 species
ACGACUACACUCCUACGGGAGGCAGCAGUGGGGAAUAUUGGAUAAUGGGGGGAACCCUGAUCCAGCCAUGCCGCGUGUGUGAAGAAGGCCUUUUGGUUGUAAAGCACUUUAAGCGAGGAGGAGGCUACUCUAGUUAAUACCUAGGGAUAGUGGACGUUACUCGCAGAAUAAGCACCGGCUAACUCUGUUCCAGCAGCCGCGGUAAUACAGAGGGUGCGAGCGUUAAUCGGAUUUACUGGGCGUAAAGCGUGCGUAGGCGGCUUUUUAAGUCGGAUGUGAAAUCCCUGAGCUUAACUUAGGAAUUGCAUUCGAUACUGGGAAGCUAGAGUAUGGGAGAGGAUGGUAGAAUUCCAGGUGUAGCGGCGAAAUGCGUAGAGAUCUGGAGGAAUACCGAUGGCGAAGGCAGCCAUCUGGCCUAAUACUGACGCUGAGGUACGAAAGCAUGGGGAGCAAACAGGAUUAGAAACCCCUGUAGUCCACCAAUCC